UACGAAGGUCCCAAGCGUUAUCCGGAUUUAUUGGGUUUAAAGGGUGCGUAGGCGGACUAUUAAGUCAGUGGUGAAAGCCCCAAGCCUAACUUGGGAACUGCCAUUGAUACUGGAUGGCUUGAAUUCGGGAGAGGGAUGCAGAAUUCCAGGUGUAGCGGUGAAAUGCGUAGAUAUCUGGAGGAAUACCGGUGGCGAAGGCGGCAUCCUGGACCGACAUUGACGCUGAGGAGCGAAAGCUAGGGGAGCAAACGGG
rnacentral:rRNA from 1 species